ensembl:lncRNA
CAGGUGGUGUAAUGUUUCCCUCCCCCGAUGGGCCUCCUUUGGUUUAGUGGAAUACGAUAUGAAACACAGACACAAGAAAAGCAGGUGAAAUAAAUCAGUGUUUACUACCUGAGGAGACUGAAUGAGGAAUAAAAUGAUGUCGUCUUUUCACAAACGUACCUGUUUGUUCACAUGAGAACUGACUGCAGGCUUCAAACAGCAGAGUUUUUCCACUCUGAUUGUCUCUCAUUUCACAUCUCAGUGACUUAUAAUACUUUGACUUCUGAUGAAGAGGAGCUUUAAACGUCACAUUGGCUUCACAAGCAGCGUGUGAUGUCGUCACAUCAGUGUGUUUGCCGUCAUAAAGCCACUCUGGUGCGUGUUCACACUCAGAGAAUCUCAACACAAAGCAGGAAAACACAACCGAACCCCCGUAGUCCUUUUCCUCCACUGGUGAAGAUGUUCUUGUAAACACGUACAGAGAGACCUCACCAUCUGGACCUUGUAGUCUUCCUCUUUCAUUAAAAUCUCUGUUGGUGUAACGACCAACAUCUUCACCUGAGACGCUUCUUAUAACCAGAGAACAGUUUGCUGUCAAACUCAGUCUGUUGGUUUUAGCUUCUGGAAUCAAAGCGUCAUUAUUAAUCUUCCCAAGUGUAACCAGCACCACAGUUGAUCCACUACGACUGUAAAGCCAAGUAGAACCGUCACAUCUGUCCUGAUCCACACGGUUAGAAGGCAAAGUGACGUCAUCUCCGGCUCUGACGAGGAAGCGGGGGACAGGGGGGGUUUGUCCUCUUACUAUUGACACAUAUGAAAGAACUGAGGUAAGAAUACAGAUCUCUAGACUCCAGUCACACGUGAUGAAGACAUCGAUAACAAACAGCAUCAAACGUCCUUUCGCUAGAGUCCAGUGGACACUGGACAUGAAGGUGGACGGUUGGACUCUCCUCACGUUGGUGGAACAGUUGCUGUGUGUUUGCUGUUCUUACCUGCAGCCUGAAGCAGCAGCAGCAUCACACAUAAAGUCCUUUGAGUCCCUCUGAGUUCCACCAUGGUGUCUCUGCUCCUCAAGGCGUCUGACCGAGUGCUUCUUCCUCACAGAUGCAGCUUCUGCUUCCUCUGGUUGCACAGCGUCACUUCCUCGUCGUGCUCAUAGAGACGACGUGUCGGAGCUCUGAGGAUGAGUUUCUUCCUCUUUGCAUCUUGUGGUUGUUUCCUCAGAAGUGAAGAGGAAGCGUUGUGGUGAGAACGUGUGAGAACAGCAGCAGCUCUGCAGGUUUGAGCCUUUAGUGGAGACCAGAUCACGUGAGGACUCAG